AUUGAACGCUGGCGGCAUGCUUUACACAUGCAAGUCGAACGGUAACAGGUCUUUCGGGAUGCUGACGAGUGGCGAACGGGUGAGUAAUGUAUCGGAACGUGCCCAGUAGUGGGGGAUAACUACUCGAAAGAGUGGCUAAUACCGCAUGAGAUCUCUGGAUGAAAGCGGGGGGACCGUAAGGCCUCGCGCUACUGGAGCGGCCGAUAUCAGAUUAGGUUGUUGGUGAGGUAAAGGCUCACCAAGCCGACGAUCUGUAGCUGGUCUGAGAGGACGACCAGCCACACUGGGACUGAGACACGGCCCAGACUCCUACGGGAGGCAGCAGUGGGGAAUUUUGGACAAUGGGCGCAAGCCUGAUCCAGCAAUGCCGCGUGCAGGACGAAGGCCUCGGUUGUAACUAGCUUUGUACGG
rnacentral:rRNA from 1 species